UACGGGGGGAGCAAGCGUUGUUCGGAUUUACUGGGCGUAAAGGGCGCGUAGGCGGCCAGCGCAAGUCAGUUGUGAAAUCUCCGAGCUUAACUCGGAAAGGUCAACUGAUACUGCGCGGCUAGAGUGCGGAAGGGGCAACUGGAAUUCUCGGUGUAGCGGUGAAAUGCGUAGAUAUCGGGAGGAACAUCCGUGGCGAAGGCGGCCACCUGGACCAACAUUGACGCUGAGGCACGAAAGCGUGGGGAGCAAACAGG
rnacentral:rRNA from 1 species